rnacentral:pre_miRNA from 7 species
UCCCUGGUUUCCUAGAGACCCUGAAAGACCCCCGAAGGGAGACCCUCACUCAAGCCUCAGGACAGCCGAGGACCCAAGAAGACACUGAGACCG